GUCAAUGAUCGUAGUGUUCUUUGAAAGAGAGAGAACCGAAAAAAGGAAGUGAAUUAGAAUAAUGGUGAAGAGCAAAGUCAUUCCGAGCUGUAGAUGUGGCUUUAUUUAAUAAUUGGUUUAGGUGUGUUUGGUUGGGGAUUAAUUAUUCGUAACAGUAUAGUAUCCAAAUUUAAGAUAAUUAUAUACGGCUGUUAUGUUUCCUACAAAACAAAAAAGGUAUUGAU
rnacentral:lncRNA from 1 species